rnacentral:rRNA from 1 species
UACAGAGGUCUCAAGCGUUGUUCGGAUUUACUGGGCGUAAAGGGUGCGUAGGCUGUUUUGUAAGUCUGAUGUGAAAUUUUGUGGCUCAACUACAAAAGCGCAUUGGAAACUACAAAGCUAGAGGACUGGAGGGGAAGUCGGAAUUCUCGGUGUAGCAGUGAAAUGCGUAGAUAUCGAGAGGAACACCAGUGGCGAAGGCGGACUUCUAGACAGUUCCUGACGCUGAAGCACGAAAGCUAGGGGAGCAAACAGG